rnacentral:rRNA from 1 species
GACGAACGCUGGCGGCGUGCCCAAUACACGCAAGUCGAACGCAGUGGGGACGGGUGAGUAACACGUGGGUAACCUCCCAUCAGAGGGGAUAACACUUGGAAACAGGUGCUAAACCGAGACGGAUGGAUGGACCCGCGGUGCAUUAGCUAGUUGGCGAGGUAACGGCUCACCAAGGCCACGAUGCAUAGCCUACCUGAGAGGGUGAUCGGCCACGCUGGGACUGAGACACGGCCCAGACUCCUACGGGAGGCAGCAGUAGGGAAUCUUCGGCAAUGGACGAAAGUCUGACCGAGCAACGCCGCGUGAGUGAGGACGGCCUUCGGUUUGUAAAUCUCUGUUAAUCGGGACGCGGUCCCGGACUAGAUAGCCACGGCUAACUACGUGCCAGCAGCCGCGGUAAUAC